UGGAGUUUAAUCCCUCCUCGAGUGCGUCCGCCGACGGCUGCCCUGGAGGGGAGUGUUGGGCGAGGCUCGGCCCACCCGCAGUGGGAGUGCCGGCGGUCGGCGUGUGUGUGGGGGUCGGGAUCCGGUCCCUAGUGUAUGAAGAGAUUUUUUCAGAGGCAUCAAAUAAUGUCUUCUGAAAUGUUGCCAGCAUUUACUGAGUCUUCUAAUGUUGAAAGAAAGCAAAGCUUAAGUGAAGAUCAAGAGAAGAGCCAGAAGCCAAGAUUAGGUGAAGAGUUUGAACCAAUAUCUAAAAGACAAAUGAAGAAGCUAAUUAAACAGAAACAGUGGGAAGAACAAAGAGAGCUCCGCAAACAAAAGCGGAAGGAAAAACGCAAGAGAAAACAAUUAGAACGACAAUGUCAACUGGAAUCAAACGUAGAUGGAAAUGACAGAAAACGCAUUCGAAGAGAUGUUGUCCACAGUACACUCCGCCUUAUCAUUGACUGCAGUUUUGACAGCUUGAUGGUAUUAAAGGACAUUAAGAAACUUCAUAAACAGAUUCAGCGAUGUUAUGCCGAAAAUCGGCGAGCACUGCAUCCUGUGCAGUUUUACUUGACAAGCCAUGGAGGCCAAUUGAAAAAGAACAUGGAUGAAAAUGACAAAGGAUGGGUCAACUGGAAGGAUAUACACAUCAAAGCAGAGCAUUAUAGUGAAUUCAUAAAGAAAGAAGACCUAAUUUAUCUAACAUCAGACUCACCUAAUGUGCUGAAGGAAUUAGAUGAAUCAAAGGCUUAUGUGAUUGGAGGGUUAGUAGAUCACAACCAUCACAAGGGACUCACAUAUAAACAAGCAUCAGAUCAUGGAAUUGACCAUGCACAGCUCCCCCUUGGAAAUUUUGUGAAGAUGAAUAGUAGGAAAGUUUUGGCAAUUAAUCAUGUGUUUGAGAUUAUUCUGGAAUAUCUGGAAACCAAAGACUGGCAGGAAGCAUUUUUUACUAUCUUACCCCAACGGAAAGGAGCUGUUCCCACAGACAAAACCUGUGAAAGUUUUUCGUAUGACAAGACAUCUGUCAGGGUUGAAGAUGGAUUGGACAGUGAUUCUAGUGAGGAAGAAAAUAGCAGAAAUGAACUAGAAUCACCACAUGAAGAAGAAAAGCAAGAUAAAGAAAAUAGUAAUGAAUCUACAGUGAACUCUAUGCCACACUAAUGUUAUCUGUUGUUUUUUGUUUUUUGUUUUUGGUUGUUUUUUUUUUUUAGUUUAAGGAAAGCCAGAGAAAAUGAGGUGCUUCAUAGAAUAUUCUAACUGGGAGAAAAUUUUAUUUCCUCUUAUUUCUGUUGUCAAUUUUUAAAACUUUUUUUAGAGCUAAUUGAUAAAAAGCCCUUAUAAGAAAGUAUUUUUUGUUUUUACAUAAAAUGUAAAUGUAUAAUUUUUAAAAUAGUUUUCUAAGUCUCAAGAGGUAAAACUUCAUUCUCUCAUUUACUGGAUUAUAUUUUUUCGAAUGUGCCUUCUGACCUUUCAGUUUUAUUUUUUAAUGUUUAUAUCAAGUGUCUUUCUGAUUUUUGCCUACUUAGUUGUAGAGGUACAUAUUCAUCAAUCUCCUCUAAGUCUACUGAAAUGUUCUGUCUGGGAGGUUACCUCCUAUUUGCAGCUUUUUUUAAUUCAACUUAGUUACUUCAAAAGAAUGCAGUUAUCUUAGGAAGAAGUAUUAGACUGAUAAACUCAACAAUUUAUUUCUUUUGGACUAUGGAGCCCAUCUCUAUUCCUCCUCUGUGAUGCCUUUUUGUGGCUCUAAAGCAAUCACCGAAGAGGGUAAAGAAUCUCUUUAAUGGUCUUUCCGAAGUUCAAUAAUGGUGGUAACUUAUUUCAAUUACCAAAUGUAAUUCUUCAGACUAGAUUAUUUUAAAAGGCCAUUGAGUAUCAAUUUUGUCUUAAAUUUAAAAGGAAACAGCUCUUAGCUGUCCUUUCCUUCUGUAUGUACUUCUAUUAAAUAAUAUAUUUCUUGGUUCUUAAAGUGAACAAAGUUAACUUUAUAUGUGCAUCUGUCUACUAGCAUAUAAUAUACAAGCUAAUAUAACUGUAUGUUCCUAUAAAUAAGCAUGUAUGAAAAAUAUACAAUUGUAUAUAUAUCCACAAUCAUGUAUGAUUCUCAGUUAAUAACAGAACUGAGUUGCCAAAUAUCUGUAUAAUUGCCUCAAUGACUGUGUUGAACAACACUAAGAACUUGAAUUUCAGAAAGUGCAAAAAUCCAUAGCUAAACUUUUAUAUGAGGACAUUGGCAAGGUGGGGCUGAAAGGAGAUGUUUUUAUUUUCUCCUGGUAAAUGUAGAGCAGAUAUGUUUAAAAUAGUGAUUAUUCUUUGUCAUAGCUAAAGCAAGAUUUCAGAAGCCUUCACUGAGUUUGGUUAAAUUUUCUGUUCUUUUUACUCACUGACAUCUCAAAUUAUGUACACAUUUGGUAGAAAGUUCAUUAGAUUUAGUAUUGAUAGUCACGGUCUCUUAAUUUUUGUUGCUUUAUUCCUAGUAAUAUAGUUAUCCGUUUAAAAGAAGGUCUGUGAGCAAGGUACAGAAAUAAAAGCCCCUACCAUUCUAGAAGAGCAAAGCAUAUAUCUCGAGUUGUAUUUCUCAAAGGUUCAGGUUUUCCUAAGUACGGUUUAGUAAAAUGAAAUCUAGUUAAUCCUUGAAAAGUGUGGGGAUGAGGGUCAGCAACCCCCACAGUUGAAAAUCCAUGUAUAACCUUGUCUCAAAACUUAAUAGCCUACUGUUGACCCAAGAUCUUACUGAUAACACAGUAAGUGUAUUUAAACAUGUAUUUCUAUGUUAUAUGUAUUAUAUACUGUGUUCUGAAAAUAAACUAGAGAAAAUGUUAAGAAAAUCAUAAGAGAAAAUACAUUUACAAUACUGUACUAUAUAGAAAAAAAUUCACAUAUAAGUGGACCCAUGCAUUUCAAACCUGUGUUGUUCAGGGGUCAACUGUAUUAUGCCUUUUACUUAAAGUAUUUAAUAUGGAAUGAGGCACAAGUUAAUUUUGAAAGGAGGGGCAAAAUCAUUACAGGCACUGUGCAGUUUGUCACUCAUUAUGAAAGCCCUGUAUUAUUUCCUAGUGCUGCCAUAACAAAUUACCACCCGGUGGUUUAAAAUAACAGGAAUUUUUUCCCUACAGUUCUGGCGGCUAAAACUCAGAAUCAAGAUGGAUCAUGUACCCUCUGAAGGCUAAAGGGAAAAAAGUCCUUCCUAGCCUCUUCUUGGUUUUUGGUGGUCCCAGCAAUCCUUGCUGUUCCUUGGCUUACAGCUGCAUCACUCCAGUAUCUGCUUUGUCAUCAAAUGGCUUCUGCCCCAGUCUUUCUUGCCUGUGUCUGUGUCCCUCUUAUAAGCAUAGCAAUCAUUGGAUCAGUGUCCAACAUAAUCCAGUAUGACCUCAUCUUAACUGGAUUACAUUUGCAAAGAUCCUAUUUCCAAAUAAGGUCACAUUUAAAAGGUACAAGAUACUAGGACUUGAACAUAUAUUUGAGUAGGCACAGUUCUAUCCAUACAAGUUUAUAUCUUAGGCUGUUGGUGACAGGGAGAUACAACCUUCACCUCAGGGUAAGAUUACAAUGAGAAAUAAGUAAUUGCUGAGGUAUUUAAAAAUCUUUUUUAAAUUAUGGUAAUCUCUCAUUUUAAUGUAUUACUUUUAACAUUGUUUUGGCUUAUUGAGGUGCCUUAUUUAAGACUUCAUUUGCAGUGAAGUCUCCUGUAUUGGGACAUAAUAAAGGUAAGGAAUUCAGUUAGUAUUUAAAUAAAUGCAUCCAAAGGAAAUAUGUCUCCUGAAAUAAUAAAAUUUUCUCUCACUUCAUUUCUUCAAAAACCUGCAGUGUUAAUAAAUCAAGCUUGUUGAUAAAGGAAGGAGCGUUCUUUGGAUUGAUUCCCCAGAAGUCAGUGUGUUGCCAUCUGGAAGCAUUUGAAAAUACUUGAAAUUGGAAAAGAAAAACAAACAAAAAAGGCAAGCACUUCUGAAAGAAUGUUAAGAACCUGCUCCAAUUGGUUCCUCCUCAUCCCCCUGUCUCGGUGGAUAGCAUUUGCAAACCCUGAAGAGAUGUCCAAGCCAGACCCAGAGAUCCAUUGUGGACAACUCCCUUGCAUCUACAAUAUGUUGCUGGACAACAAGUUCAGUAAAUGCUUCAUUCUCGAUAUUUCUCACAUUUCUCCAUUUCUUUUUAUCCCUACAGCCCUGACCUUGUCUAAACUAUCAUCAGUUCUUGCUUAAGCUACUCUGCAAUAUCCUUUUCCCUAGUCUGCCUGAAAUUUUUUCUUUUUUUCAAAAGAUUCCCAAAGCUACUUUGCCUUUAAUGGUUUUUUCAUCAAAAUGGUGGUUACACAGUGCUCCCAGCUUCUUUUAACUUACAGAUCCCUCUAGAUUGAAUGUGGAAAUCAUCCCAAUUGUUUCUCCUCUCUGAACUGUCAUAAAUCUGUGCUGUCUGUUGCUUAAUGCCUGAAAACAGUUUCUUCAUGUGUUUCCCCAGUUUUGUAUAGUUGUUUACAGCAGGAAGCUAAGUCUUGGACCUAAUCUAACAUUUGGAAGCAGAGUGCCUUCUGUGCCAUUUGGCCUCCACCUUCCAAAUUAGUUCUGCAUAUUGUAUCUAGAGCGAUUUUUCUAAAGUACAAAUCUGACCAUGUAAUUCUUAUAUUUACAAAGUGAUUUCAGUAUAAGUUGGUGUUUGAAAUUCUUCACUAGCUUCCCACAGCACUUCAGAUGAAUCUGAACACUUAUUUCUGGUCUAUGCCUAAGUCUCCAACCUCAAACCUUAAAGCCUUCUCCCUCCGAAUCAGCCUUAAUGUUUUUAGUUUCUUGAAUGAACAGUGCUCUCGCUUCUUAGCCUUUAGAUAUGAAGGUCUCUUGUCUGGGAAUGAUCUCUUCCAUACUAAUCUUCAUCUUUUAAUUGUAUCUUAAAUAUUCUUUAGGUUUAUUUCCCUUUGAAGAAUCUCUCAGCUCCAAAAUCUCCUAAAUGUUAUUACAAUGCCUGUACAAUUCCUCUCAUAAGCUAUGUGAAUAAAGGAAUGAACUGUA